GGUGAGGUGUCCGAGUGGCUGAAGGAGCACGCCUGGAAAGUGUGUAUACGGCAACGUAUCGAGGGUUCGAACCCCUCUCUCACCACCA
rnacentral:tRNA from 39 species